CGUAAACCGACACAGGUGGGUGGGAUGAGUAUUCUAAGGCGCGUGGAAGAACUCUCUUUAAGGAACUCUGCAAAAUAGCACCGUAUCUUCGGUAUAAGGUGUGGUUCGCUUCGUAUUAGGAUUUACUCCGAAAGCGAAGAAACUUACAACAAAGAGUCCCUCCCGACUGUUUACCAAAAACACAGCACUCUGCUAACUCGUAAGAGGAUGUAUAGGGUGUGACGCCUGCCCGGUGCUCGAAGGUUAAUUGAUGGGGUUAGCAUUAGCGAAGCUCUUGAUCGAAGCCCGAGUAAACGGCGGCCGUAACUAUAACGGUCCUAAGGUAGCGAAAUUCCUUGUCGGUUAAAUACCGACCUGCAUGAAUGGCGUAACGAGAUGGGAGCUGUCUCAAAGAGGGAUCCAGUGAAAUUGUAGUGGAGGUGAAAAUUCCUCCUACCCGCGGCAAGACGGAAAGACCCCGUGGACCUUUACUACAGCUUGACACUGCUAUUUGGAUAAGAAUGUGCAGGAUAGGUGGGAGGCUUUGAGUAUAUGACGCCAGUUGUAUAUGAGCCAUUGUUGAGAUACCACUCUUUCUUAUUUGGGUAGCUAACCAGCUUGAGUUAUCCUCAAGUGGGACAAUGUCUGGUGGGUAGUUUGACUGGGGCGGUCGCCUCCCAAAUAAUAACGGAGGCUUACAAAGGUUGGCUCAGAACGGUUGGAAAUCGUUCGUAGAGUAUAAAGGUAUAAGCCAGCUUAACUGCAAGACAUACAAGUCAAGCAGAGACGAAAGUCGGUCUUAGUGAUCCGGUGGUUCUGUGUGGAAGGGCCAUCGCUCAAAGGAUAAAAGGUACCCCGGGGAUAACAGGCUGAUCUCCCCCAAGAGCUCACAUCGACGGGGAGGUUUGGCACCUCGAUGUCGGCUCAUCGCAUCCUGGGGCUGGAGCAGGUCCCAAGGGUAUGGCUGUUCGCCAUUUAAAGCGGUACGCGAGCUGGGUUCAGAACGUCGUGAGACAGUUCGGUCCCUAUCUGCCGUGGGCGUAAGAAGAUUGAAGAGAUUUGACCCUAGUACGAGAGGACCGGGUUGAACAAACCACUGGUGUAGCUGUUGUUCUGCCAAGAGCAUCGCAGCGUAGCUAAGUUUGGAAAGGAUAAACGCUGAAAGCAUCUAAGCGUGAAGCCAACUCUAAGAUGAAUCUUCUCUAAGCUCUCUAGAAGACUACUAGUUUGAUAGGCUGGGUGUGUAAUGGAUGAAAGUCCUUUAGCUGACCAGUACUAAUAGAGCGUUUGGCUUAUCUUUAAUAAAGCAU
rnacentral:rRNA from 1 species